rnacentral:tRNA from 1 species
GCCGACGUAGCUCAGUUGGUUAGAGCACCAGAUUGUGGAUCUGGGGGUCACUGGUUCGAGCCCAGUCGUCGGUA